rnacentral:rRNA from 1 species
GUCAAAUCAUCAUGCCCCUUAUGUCUUGGGCUUCAAGCAUGCUACAAUGGUCGGUACAAUGGGUUGCGAAACUGUGAGGUGGAGCGAAUCCCAAAAAGCCGGCCUCAGUUCGGAUUGGGGUCUGCAACUCGACCCCAUGAAGUCGGAGUCGCUAGUAAUCGCAGAUCAGCAACGCUGCGGUGAAUACGUUCCCGGGCCUU